rnacentral:rRNA from 1 species
UUUAUGGAGAGUUUGAUCCUGGCUCAGGAUUAACGCUGGCGGCGUGCCUAACACAUGCAAGUCGAGCGGCAGCGAGUUUUACACUGAAUUCUGGAAGCUUCUGGUUGAAAGGGAAGAUUUAUUCAAGAAUUUUGUGUAAAAUGUCGGCGAGCGGCGGACGGCUGAGUAACGCGUGGGAACGUACCCCAAAGUGAGGGAUAACGCAUCGAAAGGUGUGCUAAUACCGCAUAUGGUCUUCGGAUUAAAGCCUUCGGGCGCUUUGGGAACGGCCUGCGUCAGAUUAGAUAGUUGGUGAGGUAAUGGCUCACCAAGUCGACGAUCUGUAACUGGUUUGAGAGGAUGAUCAGUCAGACUGGAACUGAGACACGGUCCAGACUCCUACGGGAGGCAGCAGUGAGGAAUC